CCUACGGGAGGCAGCAGUGGGGAAUAUUGCACAAUGGGCGAAAGCCUGAUGCAGCGACGCCGCGUGAGGGAUGACGGCCUUCGGGUUGUAAACCUCUUUCAGCAGGGAAGAAGCGAAAGUGACGGUACCUGCAGAAGAAGCGCCGGCUAACUACGUGCCAGCAGCCGCGGUAAUACGUAGGGCGCAAGCGUUGUCCGGAAUUAUUGGGCGUAAAGAGCUCGUAGGCGGCUUGUCACGUCGGGUGUGAAAGCCCGGGGCUUAACCCCGGGUCUGCAUUCGAUACGGGCUAGCUAGAGUGUGGUAGGGGAGAUCGGAAUUCCUGGUGUAGCGGUGAAAUGCGCAGAUAUCAGGAGGAACACCGGUGGCGAAGGCGGAUCUCUGGGCCAUUACUGACGCUGAGGAGCGAAAGCGUGGGGAGCGAACAGGAUUAGAUACCCUGGUAGUCCACGCCGUAAACGGUGGGAACUAGGUGUUGGCGACAUUCCACGUCGUCGGUGCCGCAGCUAACGCAUUAAGUUCCCCGCCUGGGGAGUACGGCCGCAAGGCUAAACCUUAAGGAAUUGACGG
rnacentral:rRNA from 1 species